CUGCUUCUUGCUCCGGAGCCCAGCAACCUACACAUUACAGAUCCAGUUGAUGCCUGCCCAUUUCCUGGUGGCCUACAGCUGCCUGAGGACUUCCUGUGCCAGCAGGCAGUUACAAGUACCGGCUGAGGCUGAGUGGGCUGCACUUUCUGCCCAGUCAGGGCCGAGGGAAAGGGCAGUGUAGAGCAGCAGGCGGACCCUUGGGAGAGGAGGAGAGGGAGCGACUGAGAAGGAAAAUGACGAAGUCCCACAGAAACCUCAUCUCCAGUCACCAGAAGCAGGGCUCUGCCAGCGCAGCUGACGCUCCUGUUUCCUUCCGCACAGCCUGAAGAGAGCCCCGCGGCCAGACUGUCAGCUCUAAUUCAGCUCCUGCUCAUUACCUCAUCACCCAUUUUCUAUAAUGACAUGUUGGGUAGCCUCUUCCUCCUGUCUGAAUUAGUUGUCAGAUAGAAAAUGAGCAUUGACGGUAUUUUCUGCUUUGCUCUCAUGGAGGUUCUCUUUUGCAUAUUUUCAUCAUCCAGGUGUUAGGAUGAAGCCUUUAUUUGUAAAUGAGCCUGGGGCUCACUGAUCCUCCAACAUUUGGGGGGGAAAUGUAACGGAGAGUGUACUAAAAAGACAAAGUUACAUAUGUCCUCUCCAGAGGAGAGUUCUGGUGAUCAGGCAAACUGAGGUAGCAAGAAGUCCGUGUGAGCUGAGCCACCAACUCUGAGCAUACCUCACACUGAGGAAAAGGCUGAGAGAAUUUUAAUUUUCAACCUUGGCACCGAAGACCUAGAAAAAGCUCAGAUAAGCUAAAAUGGGGGGGAAGGGUCUUCAGGCUCCAGGGAUAUGUCCUUAACUCAAAGCAGGGGAAUGUGGAGCUUUUCAGGCAAGAGCACUUUAAAUUUCCUUUGGGAAUCUGAAUUCUGUGGUUGAGGUAGAUUUAAACCCUUCCACAGCUUCAGGGUUGGUCCUUGAUUGACUGAAUUCCUUCAGUAAUUGGUUCAGCAAUGGAUAUACUAACUAGUCAGGGUCAAUAAGAUACGAGACUGGGAGCUGCUGCAGCCAUCUUGCUACUCUGAGGGCAGCCUGAGAAUGAAACCUCCCACUUGCGGAUUCCACACUCUGAUCCCUGCAUCAAGCCAGAAGUGUCUACUCUCCAUGGAAAGCACGCUGGAUCAUGGGCCACGAGACGUGGUUUCUGGUCUCCAUUUUGUUUGUGCAGCUGACUGCCUACCCUAACUCGAGAGUGAUUCCAGGAGCCAUUCAGACUCUCACAUUUUCUGGUUCUAAAGUAGAGUCCGAGGGUGUUUUCACCGAGAUGCCACCCUGGAGCCAAGUUGAACUUGAUCACUGCCCACAUCAAGACUGUGAGAGGUCGAAGGAGCUUUCCAUGCCU